UGAUGAUGAUGAUGGUGAUGAUGAUGAUGGUGAUGAUCAGUGGUGAUAUUUGCCAUCAUUGCUUCACAUACACG